CUCAAAACAGUGAUGGGGAAAGUAACCCUCUGAUUCCGUACCAGAGAAGGAAUGCCGUGGGCUGGAAGCAUUUCUGACAGAGAGGAUGGCGAAGACCACCCCGGAGUGCCGGGCUGAAAAGAGAGUAAGCUUGGACGUCCGCCCGCGUUAAGGGUGUUGAGAAAGACCUGCGCUGAUUUUGACGGUGUUAAGUGCGGCGUGCUUGCCAUUCCGGCAUCCGCUCC
rnacentral:ncRNA from 1 species